rnacentral:rRNA from 1 species
AUUGAACGCUGGCGGCAGGCCUAACACAUGCAAGUCGAACGGUAGCACAGAGGAGCUUGCUCCUUGGGUGACGAGUGGCGGACGGGUGAGUAAUGUCUGGGAAACUGCCCGAUGGAGGGGGAUAACUACUGGAAACGGUAGCUAAUACCGCAUAACGUCGCAAGACCAAAGAGGGGGACCUUCGGGCCUCUUGCCAUCGGAUGUGCCCAGAUGGGAUUAGCUAGUAGGUGGGGUAACGGCUCACCUAGGCGACGAUCCCUAGCUGGUCUGAGAGGAUGACCAGCCACACUGGAACUGAGACACGGUCCAGACUCCUACGGGAGGCAGCAGUGGGGAAUAUUGCACAAUGGGCGCAAGCCUGAUGCAGCCAUGCCGCGUGUAUGAAGAAGGCCUUCGGGUUGUAAAGUACUUUCAGCGAGGAGGAAGGCGUUGUGGCUAAUAACCGCAACGAUUGACGUUACUCGCAGAAGAAGCACCGGCUAACUCCGUGCCAGCCGCCGCGGUAAAAGGG